rnacentral:rRNA from 1 species
UACGUAGGGGGCUAGCGUUGUCCGGAAUCAUUGGGCGUAAAGAGCGUGUAGGCGGCUUGAUAAGUCUGCUGUGAAAGUCCAGGGCUCAACCCUGGAAUGCCGGUGGAAACUGUCAAGCUAGAGUCCGGAAGAGGCGAGUGGAAUUCCCGGUGUGGCGGUGAAAUGCGCAGAUAUCGGGAAGAACACCCGUGGCGAAGGCGGCACUCUGGGACGGUACUGACGCUGAGACGCGAAAGCGUGGGGAGCGAACAGG